rnacentral:rRNA from 1 species
CCUACGGGUGGCAGCAGUGAGGAAUAUUGGUCAAUGGGCGAAAGCCUGAACCAGCCAAGUCGCGUGAGGGAGUACUGCCCUAGGGGUUGUAAAUCUCUUUUUUCGGGGAGCAAAAGCCGGACGUGUCCGUCUGUCAGAGUACCCGAAGCAAAAGCAACGGCUAACUCCGUGCCAGCAGCAGCGGUAAUACGCAGGAUGCGAGCGUUAUCCGGAUUUAUUGGGUUAAAGGGGUGCGCAGGCGGUCGGUGAAGUCGGGGGUAAAAGCCCGGGGCUCAACCCCGGCCCGCUGUUGAUACUGGCAGUCUAGAGUUGGAGAGAAGUAUGCGGAAUGCGCGGUGUAGCGGUGAAAUGCAUAGAUAUCGCGAAGAACUCCGAUUGCGAAGGCAGCAUGCCGGCUCCACACUGACGCUGAGGCACGAAAGCGUGGGUAUCGAACAGGAUUAGAUACCCGAGUAGUC